AUGUUAUUGUGGUGUUCUUUUGAUUUUAAUUUUAAUUUUUUUUUAUUGACUCAAAGGGUGUGCUCUAUUCUGGAUGUUUUUAGAGUCUAGGAUAAGUAGGUGAAUACCACAACAAAUAUCAUAUUAGGCUUUUUAGAACAAAUUAUUUGAGCAAGGAUAAACAAACAUAAGUAAUAAAACAAUACUAAACCAAAUGAUUAAAAUCAAUUGGUUAAUGACUUCCAUCAAAUGAUGAAUUGUUUAGAAGAACCCGAGUUCAAUUCUUGAGUGGAACAAUUCUUUGUCAUACUUUACUUAUCUCCCGAUCGAACUUCAAAUUAUAGGGUCUCUUUCCCCUACAAACUGAAUAUUUAAUACAAAAAUAAAACAAUAAUUAGUACUCCCUCCGAUCCUAAUUAUA
rnacentral:lncRNA from 1 species